CUAUAAUUGUGUUCCACUAAUUAGAAAGAAAUCAUAAAUAAAAAAUCUUAAAUAGGAAUACAAAAUACAGAAUAUACAGAGAAAUAAGAUAGUGAUUGACUUUCCAUAACAGUUGUUAAAGAAACCUUUGUCACAAUGGACAAGACAUUCAUUUUGGACAGACAAAAUGUGAAAACUACACAAACAACAUGACAGAAUCUUUUAAAAGCUGGAUAGGCAAGCUAAGAGGAAUGCCAUUGAUCAACAUAAUUGAGAGCAUUAGAUAGAAACUCAUGUUAAGAUUCCAUAGCAGGUAUGCAAAGGGCUGUACUUGGGAUGGGAAGGUCACACCUAGAACAAAGAAGAUAUUGAACAAGAUUACAAGUCAGAGUAGAUGUGUUAAGCUAAUACCUGGAAAGAAUGAAGAGUUCGAGGUUCAUGAGGAUCCCUGUAAAUUUGCUGUUUCUUUGGUGAAAAAGACUUGCUCCUGUGGAUGGUGGGACAUAUCUAGAUUGCCAUGUAAAUAUGCGGCCAAAGCCAUUGGGCAUCAGAGAGGAGAUAUAGAGAAGUACUGUCAUAAUUACUAAGAUGUUGAUACCUAUUUGAAGGUCUAUGAAUGUGCAAUUCAUCCAAUCCCAGAAAUGAAUAUGGAACCAAAUGCUGAACACCCACCAAUAAAACCACACCCAUUGAAAAGGCAACUGAGCAGGCCUCGAAAAUCGAGGAAAAGGGAAGAGAGAGAGCUAGGGCCUACAUUAAAGAGAAGAAGGAAUGCAACGGUGUUUUGUGCCAAGUGCAAGCAAUUGGGACAUAAUAAGAGGACUUGCCAAUAUGCCCUAGUUGGGGUAAGUUCUAUCAUAUUAAACUAUUUUACCAUCUAGCAAUUAAAAAUUUUAUGCAUACAAAGAUCUCAAUUAUGUAUAUAUUUAUUGAUUUUUAUGUUAAUAUUUUAUUAUGACAUAAGCUAUUUCUUCAUGCGGUCCGACACAAGUUCUAGAGGUGGAAGGAAGAAAAAAAAAUAGUUCUGUAGCCCCCCAAGAAUUUGAGCCACAAUCUCAAGGGGGGCAUGUGCAACAAUCCAUGUAUGUGAACAGUAACAUUGCUCAAGAUAUGGGUAGAUAGUCAUUGCAUUAGGAUGGUCACUGGAAAUGGAACAUUAGUCAUAUUUUGUUGUUAGUUCAAUUUUGUUGGUGAAAUAUGCUCAGUAGUCUUAUAUUUCGUGGUUGCAAUGUGCAUAGUUGGAACUUUGUGCGUGUAAAUAUUGGGAAAUUUAGUGCUUAUUGGAGAUGAUAUUAGAUAAGUUAUUUAAUAAUUUUGAUUUAUAGUAGUGUAAUGGACUUGAUCACUAGAAUGAUGGCUAUCUUUACUGUUAUUUAAUUGAUCAAGUAUUUUGGUUGUAAACAAUUGAUUUUUGUAUCUAUUCCAAUAUAUACUAUUGAUAGAAAAAUUUGUCUUUGAUAAUUGUUGCAUUUUACAGGUUAUAAAUUAUAUAUUAUAGACAGGUUUUUCAUUUUACAGGUUACUAAUUCAUAAAAAACAGGGGUUACCAUUUCAAAAUAUAUGUUGCCAACUCAACUAUUUAGUCCCGGUAAU
rnacentral:misc_RNA from 1 species